GACGAACGCUGGCGGCGUGCUUAACACAUGCAAGUCGAGCGGUAAGGCCCUUUCGGGGGUACACGAGCGGCGAACGGGUGAGUAACACGUGGGUGACCUGCCCUCAGCUCUGGGAUAAGCCUGGGAAACCGGGUCUAAUACCGGAUAUGACUCCAUGACGCAUGUUGUGGGGUGAAAGCCUUGUGCGGCUGAGGAUGGGCCCGNGGCCUAUCAGCUUGUUGUGGGGUGAUGGCCUACCAAGGCGACGACGGUAGCCGG
rnacentral:rRNA from 1 species